GUUGACCUCGGAUCAGGUAGGGAUACCCGCUGAACUUAAGCAUAUCAAUAAGCGAGAGAGGGG
rnacentral:rRNA from 1 species